UACAGAGGGGGCAAGCGUUGUUCGGAAUUACUGGGCGUAAAGGGCGCGUAGGCGGCCUGUUAAGUCGAACGUGAAAUCCCCAGGCUCAACCUGGGAACUGCGUCCGAUACUGGCAGGCUUGAAUCCGGGAGAGGGAUGCGGAAUUCCAGGUGUAGCGGUGAAAUGCGUAGAUAUCUGGAGGAACACCGGUGGCGAAGGCGGCAUCCUGGACCGGUAUGACGCUGAGGCGCGAAAGCCAGGGGAGCAAACGGG
rnacentral:rRNA from 1 species